UACAGAGGUCCCAAGCGUUGUUCGGAUUCAUUGGGCGUAAAGGGUGCGUAGGCGGCGCGGUAAGUCGGGUGUGAAAUCUCGGAGCUUAACUCCGAAACUGCAUUCGAUACUGCCGUGCUUGAGGACUGGAGAGGAGACUGGAAUUUACGGUGUAGCGGUGAAAUGCGUAGAUAUCGUAAGGAAGACCAGUGGCGAAGGCGGGUCUCUGGGCCGAUAUUGACGCUGAGGAGCGAAAGCGUGGGGAGCAAACAGG
rnacentral:rRNA from 1 species